rnacentral:rRNA from 1 species
CCUACGGAGGCAGCAGUGGGGAAUAUUGGGCAAUGGGCGCAAGCCUGACCCAGCAACGCCGCGUGAAGGAAGAAGGCUUUCGGGUUGUAAACUUCUUUUGUCAGGGACGAAGCAAGUGACGGUACCUGACGAAUAAGCCACGGCUAACUACGUGCCAGCAGCCGCGGUAAUUCGUAGGUGGCAAGCGUUAUCCGGAUUUACUGGGUGUAAAGGGCGUGUAGGCGGGACUGCAAGGCAGAUGUGAAAACGACGGGCUCAACCUGUGGCCUGCAUUUGAAACUGUAGUUCUUGAGUACUGGAGAGGCAGACGGAAUUCCUAGUGUAGCGGUGAAAUGCGUAGAUAUUAGGAGGAACACCGGUGGCGAAGGCAGUCUGCUGGACAGCAACUGACGCUGAGGCGCGAGAGCGUGGGGAGCGAACAGGAUUAGAUACCCCUGUAGUC